AUACGGAGGAUGCAAGCGUUAUCCGGAUUUAUUGGGUUUAAAGGGUGCGCAGGCGGAAAAUUAAGUCAGUGGUGAAAUCCUACAGCUUAACUGUAGAACUGCCAUCGAUACUGAUUUUCUCGAGUGCAGUUGAGGUAGGCGGAAUGUGUAAUGUAGCGGUGAAAUGCUUAGAUAUUACACAGAACACCGAUUGCGUAGGCAGCUUACUAAACUGUUACUGACGCUCAGGCACGAAAGCGUGGGGAGCGAACAGGAUUAGAAACCCGAGUAGUCC
rnacentral:rRNA from 1 species